ACUCUGGUACGGGGCAAGAUGACGCUCACUAGCUCUCUAACUCUGGUACAGAGCGAGAUGCUGCUUACUCUAUAGUUGCUAAGCAACUAGGUUGUCAUAUAUCACAGUGGAUAUUGGAUGUCGUAUCAAUGUGGGUAUUGGAUGUCAUAUAUCAGGGUGGGCAUUUGAUGUCAAAUCAGGGUGGGUAUUGGAUGUCAUAUAUCAGGGUGGAUAUUUGAUGUCAUAUCAGGGUGGACAUUGGAUGUCAUCAGGGUGGGUAUUGGAUGUCAUAUAUCAGGGUGGGUAUUGGAUGUCAUAUCAGGGUGGAUAUUGGAUGUCAUAUAUCAGGGUGGGCAUUGGAUGUCAUAUAUCAGGGUGGGCAUUGGAUGUCAUAUAUCAGGGUGGGUAUUGGAUGUCAUAUAUCAGGGUGGAUAUUUGAUGUCAUAUAUCAGGGUGGAUAUUGGAUGUCAUAUAUCAGGCUGGGCAUUGGAUGUCAAAUCAGGGUGGGUAUUGGAUGUCAUAUAUCAGGGUGGAUAUUGGAUGUCAUAUAUCAGGGUGGGUAUUGGAUGUGAUAUCAGGGUGGAUAUUGGAUGUCAUAUAUCAGGGUGGGUAUUGGAUGUCAUAUAUCAGGGUGGGUAUUGGAUGUGAUAUCAGGGUGGAUAUUGGAUGUCAUAUAUCAGGGUGGGCAUUGGAUGUCAUAUAUCAGGGUGGGUAUUGGAUGUGAUAUCAGGGUGGAUAUUGGAUGUCAUAUAUCAGGGUGGAUAUUGGAUGUCAUAUAUCAGGGUGGGUAUUGGAUGUCAUAUAUCAGGGUGGAUAUUGGAUGCCAUAAGUCAGGGUGGGUAUUGGAUGUCAUUUAUGUCAGGAUGGCUAUUGGAUGUCAUAUAUCAGGGUGGGUAUGGGGCACUAUCAUAUAGUCACUAUGUUGAUUGUUGUAGAGAAGGUUGUGAAGUGCUGACUCUUCAGAAUACACCUUCCACCAUUACAACACUCAAGUUUCCCCGACAGCCACCCCAUACCUCUGUCCUUGUAGACUGGUCUUGAGUUGAGUCUGGUAGACGUCUGUGUUAUGCAUGUAAACAUGAAACAGUGCAGUUCUAAAUCUUGAGCUUGAAUUCCUAAACAUAUCUUCAUACAGAACACAUUGUCAAAAUAUAUUCAUACAUGCAGCACCUAAUCUUUCACAGAGUGAUAGUUAUCAAAGUUACAACACAGUUACCUUAAUUACAACGUAGUUACCAUAGUUACAACAUAGUUGCCAUGGUUACCACACUGUAGUCUUUUAACUGGGAGGGUGUCAGAGUAUCAUUGCCAUGGUUACAUCUUGAGAUUGGAGGGUAGGACAAAAACCCUACCGGACAAAAUCCGAUAAGACAAAAUGUCUGCACACUGCGGACAAAGUCCGGAUUUUGUCCAAAGAAAUUUUGUCCCAUGGGAUUUUGUAUGCUUGGGAUUUUGUCAGUCCCCCUUGAGAUAUGUGUGUGGCAACGAGUCACAUCAGAAGGUCUGCCACACCUUGUAUUGUUUCAGGAGGAUCAGUACGAACUAGUUCCACUUGUUGACUUUUGUAAACACAAUACAGAGAGAGCUGGGUUGUUUGGUGAAGCCUGGUGCAACUGUCACAGCUAACACUGAGGACUUGUAAAGACAGGCUUGUGAUGUCAGACUUGUAAAGACAGGCUUGUGAUGUCAGACUUGUAAAGACAGGCUUGUAAUGUCAGACUUGUAAAGACAGGCUUGUGAGGUCAGACUUGUAAAGACAGGUUUGUGAUGUCAGACUUGUGAAGACAGGCUUGUGAUGUCAGACUUGUAAAGACAGGCUUGUGAGGUCAGACUUGUAAAGACAGGCUUAUGAGGUCAGACUUGUAAAGACAGGCUUAUGAGGUCAGACUUGUAAAGACAGGUUUGUGAUGUCAGACUUGUAAAGACAGGCUUAUGAGGUCAGACUUGUGAAGACAGGCUUAUGAGGUCAGACUUGUAAAGACAGGCUUGUGAGGUCAGACUUGUAAAGACAGGCUUGUGAGGUCAGACUUGUAAAGACAGGCUUGUUAGGUUAAACUUG